AGAACAUUUCAAAGAUGUCAGGUGGGGCUGUGAAACCCAAGAGCUCUUAACGGUAUGACCAAAGAUUGGAGUUCUCUGUAGGAUGCACAGCACUCAGUAGUGCUGUUUUUUUGUGAAGAUAUAAAUUA
rnacentral:snoRNA from 1 species